GGAGGAAUGACCAAGCACCUCUGCACUUGAGCUCUUCUGGGACAUGCAAAUCUGCUAUAAAACAGUAUAGCCAUUCAGAUCCGUACAAAGAACUUUAUCCAAAUGUUUUCCCUUUUUUUUUAGAGGCACACAAAAGACGAAGAGUUUUCAAAAGGGGAAUCUGGGAACUAUCAACACUGCAAGUUAGUUCCUUGGCGUUUUCAUGAUGAAAACCAAAGGGACCAGGAUCUGUCUCUGGGAACAUGGUUCCUAUGGUGGUGACUAAUGGAAGCAGCAGUGGGUCAUAGGAAUGUGGCACCAACACAGCUCUGGAGAAAGGUACAGGGCUAGAAGAGGAGUGAGCAGAAGGCACAG